GCUGGGUGAGGUGGCACAUGCCUGUAAUCCCAGAGACUUGGGAGGCUAAGGCAGGAGGAUUGCAAGUUCAGAGACAGACCCAGCAACUCAGUGAGAACCUAAGUAACUUAGCAAGACUCUGUCUCAA
rnacentral:sRNA from 1 species